GUAGGUUCAUCACUACGAGCCAAACACAUUACACACUGACAUCUGAUCCCAGUGUUUAUGUAAAAUUAUUGAUUAUGGCAGCUUUAAAAGGUAGAGUCAGUGAUUCUAAUCCAAUACACAUUGCAAAUAUCUCCUCAUGGUCUGAUAGCUGUCUGUUCUGUGUGUCCAUACACAGCGCUCGCUCUGUAAAUGGGCAUGUAAACAGUGGUUUGGGCCAAGCCGCAAAACACUACUCCAGCCAAUCAGCAACAGCUCGUGCUCAUGCAAAGGGCAGGGGGAGGGGAGACGGGGUGGUAGGAGGAGCAUUAGGAGCAAGACGGACGGUAAAUCUGUAAAACAGCCAAAGAGGAGAGGAAGAACACAAAUUAAAGAAGAAGGGCUAUGAUCAGGCAAGGGCGAAGAGUUGAGAGUUGAAAGGCCUGAAGACGGAUGCAGAGGUUGCUUUGUUUCUGCUGGACAGAUGGUCAUCAGUUAUUUUGAAUGGAGGACACAGUCAGUGCAGAUGCAUUCAAUGACAUUACAAAUGCCACGUGGGAUCCGGAGGAGGACAAAGAGGAUUUGGAAGGUUUCACUGAGGAACUGAUGAUCCAGACCACAAACCAUGCAUUUGUGUUCACAGGACUGGUGGGGCUCUGAAAACAAACAUCUCUCUGGAUGCUCUUCCUGAAAUUAGCAUUGAAGAUAGAGUGCAUGAUAGUGAGGAUGAUGCAGCAGCAGACAUGCCAUCAUUUUCAGACACCAUAUGCCAUCCUGCAUAGAUCACGGAUCACAGCUGCUUGAGACAGCUUGUAGAAAACUUCCACCUACCUGUCAACACAUUCAAGACUCUGGACCUCAAGACCAGACAAUACUGUGGUGCAUUAAAUUGUGAUACAGUCAAGGAGCACUGCUGUAACUAUUGAACAGAUGUGUCCUCGAGGUCACAUUGUGUGGAGGUGGACUUCCCAAACCACUCUGAAGUAUGGGAUGCAUAUUGGAGACUUCCUUCUGUCUACCAAUAUCCUUUUGUCAUGAAACAACUAUGCCGAAAUAGCAUAACAGGACCAUGUUCUGCAGGAUCCAGGACCACUACUGUGUGGACGCAAUCAAUUAAUUCUGGGAAAUAAAGCAAAGAGACAUUAUUGCUCAGCUACAGUCCAAACAGAGUGUAGUGACACUGGAUAAGUUUGCAUUUUAAACAUUUGCUUCCACUUCUUAUAUUGGUCAAGAAGAAUUCGAUGUGCACACCUGCAGUGAGGUUUGUCACACAGCUCUGACUGUUGACUCUGUUACAUUUUGUGAUGAUGCCUUUUUAAUUCUGCGUUGGCUGGAUGGACAGUCCUGGAUUAUUGCAUGUAUUCUGCCACAGAGAAUGACACAAAGAAGAUAAUCUACAUCACCAACAUUGACAAGAGGGAGACUGAGAGAAACUCUGCUAUCAUGGAGCAGGAAGGAACAUUUGAGACUCUUCAUCAACAAGUCAAGCUGACUGAAAUAUGCACUGAUGCUCAUUCCCAGAUUUCAGAAGUGUUUGUGUAGAUGCGGUUGAUCUAACAGCGAUAUAUCUGCCAACUGGACUGUAAUUACUGUGUUUUAUGUACUAGGUUUGUGUUUCUUGUAUUUGUUCUCUCCAUACAGAUCCAGCCAGGAGGAAAUUCAAAGAUAAGGGGGUUCAGAACUCUCUUUAUGUGUGGCAGGGCUCAAAAAACCUUUCAAGAAGACUACUAGCAGCAAGCCACCAGAAGUGGAGCUUCAUCCUCUGGCAGUGGAGUAAAGACAUUUGCAACCAUUUCUGGUACUAAUGGAAGGUGGCUACAGAUGGCUAUGACAGCUUCUUUGAGAGCAUUCAUGGGCACUGGGUAGCGGCUACCAUGGUCCUCUGGUUGAGACCAGGGACAAGGAGUGGAUUGAAGUGGAAUCUGUGGCCCAUCAGAAACUUGGAGAAAUAAUUAUGGAUGCACAAUGUCUCAAGGUCAUCCCAAAGUAUCAGCAUUUCAGCAGUGUAUGACUGAGCUUUUGUGUGCGUAUAUAUAUAUAAAAUAUGGUCUGUUGACCAUAUAUUGAUUACUUGGACCUCUUUCAUCCACUGAAGAGCUUCUGAGGACAGAGGUCAGCAGAGGAAUAGAUGAGGCUUGGCUUGAGUCUUUCAAUAAAAUCAACACAAACUAUUCUUGCUCAACACUAUUGGUACAUUCUAACUUUCUAUGAAUGUUUUUCAUUGUACAUGUUACAUCAUGUUUCUUUAAGUUCAAAUUUGGAUCCAGUGUCACACCAAGACAUUUAAAAUCAGUGACUAUGUCAAUCCUUUCA